ensembl:lncRNA
AUGAAUUACUUACUUACUGGUCGGAGCCGUUAUUGGUUUUCUUUAGUUGUGAACUCAACCAAUCACUGCGGUAUAUCGGCUGCGCAUGCGCACACCGCGGAACGGCUCCCACGUGGCUGCAGGGCUCCUCCUUUCCGUCUGCAGAGCCCGCCAGUGCAACCAGUGAGCCCAGUAAGGAGAAGCUUCUCCAGGACCGCAACAGGACUCUCCGCGUCUUCAUCCCGAAGCCAGACUACCAAACUGCCUCACUCAUGGCUGUAGUCCGGUUCUACAGUGAUGAAGCGGUAAACCAGCGAAUGCAGAGAGCCGCGAAGCUCCACCCACACCUGUCCAUCACCACGGAGCUGUGCUACAAUGUGGAGCUGACAGGUGAGCGAUGAUGAUGAUGAUGAUGAUGAUGAUGCUCCAUCACAAGGACUUGCUCAAGGGUACGGAGGUUGGAACCGCAGACUUGAUGAUGUCAUCACAUCAGCUGCUCUCACUAAUGAAUUUCAUACAGUUCUUGACUAUUAAAGUAUUUUACUGUCACGGUUUUGUUCCGUUUUCAUAUGAAAAUAAAAACAUGUUAUACAUAAUUGAGCGUCACAUUAAAAUCACAUCUUUAUAAAUAUAAUCCCAAUGGAUCAGAUCAGAAUGCUAUGCAGUUUGUAAUGUUUCUGAAGAGGAGCAGCUGACCUUCAACACGUAGCCCCGCCUCUCUUCAUGGACCAUCAGUCACUAUAUGAACAUCAUGUUGUGUUGAAGAAGACUAGAGACUGAGACCAUAAACUCAUGUUUACAACGUUUACUGAGGGAAUAAAUCAAGAGAGAAGUGGAGUCAUUUCCUCAUUCACUUCUUAUUUCAAUGUUUUUAGUUUUCAGAUAACCGGUUUACUCGGCUAGCGUCGCUAUGAACUGUGGGUAGUCACUGAGACAGGAUGUUCUCCUCUCUGCAGAGCCAAUCAGCACCGAGCAGACGGAGGUUCUGCUCUGGUUGUUCCGCCCUCCUUUUCAGGCUGAGCCGCUGUCACUCAAACCCAAGCUCACGGAGGGAGCCGAGGAGAAGCUAGUGGAGAUUGGACCGAGGUGUGUGUGUGUGUGUGUGUGUGUGUG